rnacentral:pre_miRNA from 1 species
UCCUAGUACACGUAAUGGCACUGGAAGAAUUCACGGGUAUAUUUUGAAAUCCCCGUGUUCUGGCAGUGGCAUCCCUGGUACUAAGGUGAUUCAUCAG